rnacentral:rRNA from 1 species
UACGUAGGGUGCGAGCGUUAAUCGGAAUUACUGGGCGUAAAGCGUGCGCAGGCGGUUCGUUGUGUCGGCGGUGAAAGCCCCGGGCUUAACCUGGGAAUGGCCGUCGAAACUGGCGAACUGGAGUGUGGCAGAGGGGGGUGGAAUUCCGCGUGUAGCAGUGAAAUGCGUAGAGAUGCGGAGGAACACCGAUGGCGAAGGCAGCCCCCUGGGCUGACACUGACGCUCAGGCACGAAAGCGUGGGGAGCAACAGG